GCUGUUAUGUUAUUGCUAAGCCGGAAAGAAAGCAUGUGAAUAUUUUUUUGGCACGGCGUCGUUUGCAAAGUGCACUUCCUUGUUCUGACCUUGCCUUUUAUCGGCUGGAGCGAUAUGAUACGUGAUAUGCCACGGCGAAGUUGUCGAAGAUGCGACGGUGCUACGCUGUUAGAACAAUUCAUCGGAGCAUUCAAGUGUUACCUAUUAUAAGCUGUCAAAAGACCAAGCAGUGCGAAGCUCUUGGCUGACAAUGGUGCCUGCUAAUUUCCACUGCAAGGAUUUCGACCACGAAUGUUAUCAUAGGUUACGCGCGACUCCAGAGGCAAUUUGGAAUCUCGGCACGAAAUCGUCUGAUGAAAAUCUGAGGUGCCGACGCACAACAUUUUGAACGUGCUACGGAGGAUAAAGGCAAAAAACGAGAGCAGAAAAGGUGCACGGUGAAGGCGGAAAUGAAGCAGGAUCUGGCUUGCAUCUGGUGCAUAAUUGCUGACACGUUAGUUGCAGUCUACCUCCACCAACAGACAUCUUGACACCACUAAAUCUGCCCUCAAAGUUACAACCUGUGCUUUCAAGGUGGAAAACAAAGGUCGCCAUUCCGGUUAGCUGCUAUCUCCCAGUUCAAGCACUUUUGCUGUCUGGACACUCGUUCCUGUGGAUGGGGUGUUACAAGCUUCACUGUCUGAUAUAGAAGUGAUGAGCAACCAUAAGGGCACAUGCCAGAAAGGGAGUCUCCUUGGGAUGACAAACCCUCAUCACCUCAUGAGGAUACAAUGGUUGACGAAUGGUUCAUGUUCUCAAGCACAUCGAAACUUCAACAAAUAAUUCAUGAAAAGCCAGUCAGUGCUAGGAUCAGGAAUUGAAUGUGGACCGUCCUGCUACCAGUCAGAGAUGUUACAUUUCAGGCACUCAUUGACUUUUGGUGAAUUACUUGUUGACAUUGUCCCAAGGUGGAGCUCGCCACAGCUCAUUUGCCUAUCUGUUAAUGUUGUGGCGUGUGUUGCGUUUUUCUCUUUGUGUGUUCCAGACUCAGAACGGUUAAUUUGGAUCAGGUCAGGUACGUUUCAUUUAGACAUGGCAAACAUAAAGUGGUGUUUCCGAACACAACUUAGCAGUGGCCUUCAUACAUUACUGCUACGGCCAUUAAGCGUGAAUGGAAAGCUGCACAUUAUGCAUGAUGUAAAACCCCAAGACUAGGGAACACGAAGGGACAGACACAAACACGUCCCUUUGUGUUCCCUAGUCUUGUGGUUUUACAUCAUGCAUCAUCUUCACCAGCUCGCUUGCUUCCUAGCCAUUUUUUCUGCACAUUAUGUUCACUCUACUUUUAUCGUGUGCUAUGUAAUAUUGUUCAAGUUCUGUCAAACGAGCGUGUAAUGCUAUAAAAAAAUUCAGUACACUCUUUUUGUGGGUUGAAUGGUAGCACAUGAAUGCAGAAAGGAAACUGUCAUGUUAUGGCAAGUGUUUAUGUAUUGUACAUUUAACUACUAAUUUUAUUGGUUAGCUUUCGCCGGCGUAUGAUGUCAAGCCAUGUUAUAUUAAUUUGGAACAUGUUCUUAGUAGCCAGAGCAGCUGAUACACAGUGAGAACAUAGCCCGUGUGUGUUUGUCUUUUCCACCGCAGCCCUUGAGUUUCCUCCCUGAUGGCUACACAUGUCAGGGAUAGGUUUCAGAACCGAUAUUUCCGGCCAAGUAUGAAUUGCUUUUCAGGGGAUCAUCACCCUGGCAGAUGAAACAUAUGGUUUAAAUUAUUUGCAGGACAGGAAUUGCGUAGCUUCACACAAAUACUACUACUACGACGUAAGAGUGCUUUCAAAUCUAGCUUUUUUGUCUUCCUGACAUUAUCGCACAAAAUGUAGCAUCCACUAUGAUCCUUUAUAUGGGGGGUAUGUACAGUGCAAUCAACAGAUGCUAUUUACAAAUCUGUGUUUCCUACUGUGUUGAAAUGGGAUAGUUUGUAUCUGAGAGCCAUAGUGAAACACAGGCAGCCAAUGACAGACCUUUGAUGCCCUCGAGAAACAUGGCAACACAUUGCAGGGACUCUGGAUGCUGCCUAAAAUUCCAGAACACAGAGCUCAAGGCAGCGGUUAGACAACAAGUGGUUAGAGAAAUCCAAGACAGUUGCAUGUGUAAGCAGUCCGCUGUGGGAUUUGCUUCUGUACGACAUACGUUAUCUCAAAGAGGACGCACGGGCACACUCAGAAUGAUACUAGGGCUGCCUGUGAAAUAGAAUGAGGAGAGGAGGAGAUAUAUAACCCUUUUUUCUUGUCUGUUAUUCUAUUGGUUAAAUUGACACUUGCUUAGCAGCAUAUAUGUGUAUAUUCCAGAGUCUGCUAAUAAAUAUAUCAGUUGAGAGCUAGCAGUCGCAUUGUAGAUGUCUCAUCCUGUCCUUGGCUGCUUGUGUUUCACUAAGGGCAUGCUUGCUAUUGCAAAAACAGGAAACAAAAAAAGACCAUAGAAAAACACGAAAAGAGCGACCUAAAAAGCUGCCUCUUCUAGUGCUCACACGGAGGCAAUGCAAUGAGGUAACAUGCGCCAUUAAUGAACUGUGCAUAGUAGUACAUAUCACAAUGGUAACCGAUUAUUCAGAUUUUUCUUGAAGUACUUUUUUUUUAGCUUUGUUUGCACAGUCUAUUAUUGGAGCUUUAUGUGAUUCCCUUCUUUAGAUACUUUAAGAUUGCUGAUGCUGUGCAGUUUGUUAAUUUUGAAACUGUACUGUGCUGAGGUACAAAAAGAAAAUUGUCAUAUCUGCAUUUGAGUACAUAGGAAUAAUUUGUAAGUACUUUCCUUGUUGACAUUAAUAUUUGCACCAGGUCACAACAUUGUUGAUUGAUGGAAAAUGUAAAUAAGUAUAUUUAUUUGCUUGCCAAACAAUGCACAAAUGUCUUCUUUUCUAGUGAGAUAUUCCCUGUUCACCAGACAUAAAUGUGGAAAAGUUAAAGGGGCACAAUGAUGGUA